AUUGAACGCUGGCGGCAGGCUUAACACAUGCAAGUCGAGCGGGGUGAUGGUGCUUGCACUAUCACUUAGCGGCGGACGGGUGAGUAAUGCUUAGGAAUCUGCCUAUUAGUGGGGGACAACAUCUCGAAAGGGAUGCUAAUACCGCAUACGUCCUACGGGAGAAAGCAGGGGAUCACUUGUGACCUUGCGCUAAUAGAUGAGCCUAAGUCGGAUUAGCUAGUUGGUGGGGUAAAGGCCUACCAAGGCGACGAUCUGUAGCGGGUCUGAGCGGAUGAGCCGCCACACUGGGACCGAGACACGGCCCAGACUCCUACGGGAGGCAACAGUGGGGAAUAUUGGACAAUGGGGGGAACCCUAAUCCAGCCAUGCCGCGUGUGUGAAGAAGGCCUUAUGGUUGUAAAGCACUUUAAGCGAGGAGGAAGCUCUUUUGGUUAAUACCCAAGAUGAGUGGACGUUACUCGCAGAAUAAGCACCGGCUAACUCUGUGCCAGCCGCCGCAGUAA
rnacentral:rRNA from 1 species